rnacentral:rRNA from 1 species
UACGUAGGGUGCAAGCGUUGUCCGGAAUUAUUGGGCGUAAAGGGCGCGUAGGCGGUGCGGCAAGUCUCCUGUGAAAUCUCCGGGCUCAACUCGGAGUCUGCAGGAGAAACUGCCGUGCUUGAGUUGUGGGAGAGGUGAGUGGAAUUCCCGGUGUAGCGGUGAAAUGCGUAGAUAUCGGGAGGACACCUGUGGCGAAAGCGGCUCACUGGACCACAACUGAC